CCUCGACUGAUAUUGAGUUUUUAAUUCUCUUGCUCCUCCAUCCAGAUUCCGGAGUUUCACGUCAGAAGUUUUGUGAAUGAGACAUCUUCAGCACUGAAAACAACAAUUCAAGCAUUUAAUUACUAUGCUCCUGAGCUACCAUUUCACGCAGAACUAACCGUUUAGUGGUGAUAUUGCUUUGUUGUCUGUUACAGAAUUUACAACCCUUUUUUAACCCAAGAAAAAGCAAGAACCAACGGCGACCGCACGGCUUGACUGGGCGGGCAGGCAUGGCCGCUCGAGCGACGCUCGCUUGAACAAAACCUUGCGUUGUGCAAAGUGUUGCUAAUUAUUUAUCUCAAGCGAUCCUGCCGUAAUUAUCACGAUCUGCAAGUUCGGAUUCGCCUUUCUUGAAUUCCCUUAUCGACCCAUUUAGACUGAUGGUCGUUGUGAGAUCUACGUGAGACGACACAUUGGUUGUAUCAAGGGUUAAGCAGAAAGCGUUCUUCCGAUGCAUGGACGCUGAGAUCAAUGACUACACUGAGCCGAGGAUCCCUAGAGACCUGUCCAUUUUAUUUCUUUGAUGGCGAUUGGAGAUGGAAUAAUUAUCACCUACAGAUCAUAUCAGACAGUAAUUCAUGCAUGCGCACCUCAGCACACCUCAGCCCUGCUUUGUCGAUAAAACUAUAGAUCUAGACGCGAUUUCUGAUGGCAAAUACCCGUGCAUGUAGAUAAUAAAACUGGAGUUGUGCAAAUAACGUUGGAGGUUUAUCAGAUCCAAUUAAUGGCUGGGAGGUUAAUGAAGUGCUGUAUCAUAAGAGAACAAGCAUUGUUUGUAUUCCUGUACGUUAUUCAUAUCGGUUGAUCGGAUAGCUGUGGUACAACAUUGAUGUCCUCUACACCAUUUUCUUUGGCAAUAAGGUUAGUGUAUCCAGUUUAACCAGUUUAAUUUGAAUA